UGGCCCUUUUCGGAGUAUCGGGACUCUGAUUCACGAUCCGUCAAUUUCUACACAAUCCUAGAAUUGCCUAGAUCAACACAUGAAGUUGAUUAUGAUCCAACGGUUCAAACGUAUCGAACCCGGAAAUCGCACAAUAUGCGAGAUCCGAUCGGGGCUUAAACGUUGUCCGAAUUGAGAUCCGCGAAUUCCUAUGCGCUUGUGAGGACUAAGAGAUCAUUUUAGGACUAAAUGUGACUUCACU
rnacentral:lncRNA from 1 species